rnacentral:rRNA from 1 species
CGAGGGGCAGCGGGGUUGUAGCAAUACAACUGCCGGCGACCGGCGCACGGGUGAGUAACACGUAUGUAACCUGCCCUCUGCAGGGGGAUAAGCGGAAGAAAUUCCGUCUAAUACCGCAUAAUACAAUUUGGAGACAUCUCCGGGUUGUCAAAGGAGUGAUCCGGCAGAGGAUGGACAUGCGGCGCAUUAGCUAGUCGGCGGGGUAACGGCCCACCGAGGCUACGAUGCGUAGGGGUUCUGAGAGGAAGGUCCCCCACACUGGUACUGAGACACGGACCAGACUCCUACGGGAGGCAGCAGUGAGGAAUAUUGGUCAAUGGGCGGAAGCCUGAACCAGCCAAGUCGCGUGAGGGAAGACGGUCCUAUGGAUUGUAAACCUCUUUUGCAGGGGAGCAAGGCGCGGUACGUGUACCGCGAAGGAGAGUACCCUGAGAAAAAGCAUCGGCUAACUCCGUGCCAGCAGCCGCGGUAAUACGGAGGAUGCGAGCGUUAUCCGGAUUUAUUGGGUUUAAAGGGUGCGCAGGCGGACUGUUAAGUCAGCGGUAAAAUGUCGGUGCUCAACACCGGCCGGCCCCCCCCCACCGGCAGCCUUGAGUGAGCGAGAA